CCACAUGCAUGUUUUAGUGGUACAAAGUGACAAUCCAAUACCAAAUUACAAGAAGAAGUGAAAAUACAAGCUAUAAGUUAUAGCUCCUAAACACAUAUUCAGUGAUGGACACGCAACUUCAUAAUUUGAAGACGACUGAAUAAGAAGACUAAAUCGAUCUUAGGUCAUUUGGAUUUAUAGUUAAAGGAUGUUCCAUAUUGUUCUGUGUGCAUUGUGCUGUGAAUGUGUGGGUGCCGUACCAGUCCUUUCCCUGGACCAUGUAAGAGAAAACACCAAACAUAGGCAGUAUAAAAAGCUUGGGAAGCAUAUGGAAUCUCUCCAACGGAGACCAUGGGCAAG